UACGUAGGGGGCGAGCGUUGUCCGGAGUUACUGGGCGUAAAGAGUGCGUAGGCGGUUUUCUAAGUUUGGUGUGAAAUCUCCCGGCUUAACUGGGAGGGUGCGCCGAAGACUGGAAGGCUUGAGUAUGGGAGAGGUAAGCGGAAUUCCUGGUGUAGCGGUGAAAUGCGUAGAUAUCAGGAGGAACACCUGCGGUGUAGACGGCUUACUGGACCAUAACUGACGCUGAGGCACGAAAGCGUGGGUAGCAAACAGG
rnacentral:rRNA from 1 species